rnacentral:rRNA from 1 species
GAUGAAUGCUGGCGGCGUGCCUAACACAUGCAAGUCGAGCGGCAGCGAGGUUUACACUGAAUUCUGGAAGCUUCUGAGUAGUACAGAAGAGUUAUUCAAGAGUUUUGUGUAAAAUGUCGGCGAGCGGCGGACGGCUGAGUAACGCGUAGGAAUUUGCCCCAAAGUGAGGAAUAACUUCCCGAAAGGGUAGCGAAUGCCUCAUAUGUUCUUCUGAGUAAAGCCUUCGGGCGCUUUGGGAGAAGCCUGCGUUGGAUUAGGUAGUUGGUAGGGUAAUGGCCUACCGAGCCGACGAUCCAUAGCUGGUCCGAGAGGAUGAUCAGCCAGACUGGAACUGAGACACGGUCCAGACUCCUACGGGAGGCAGCAGUGCGGAAUCUGCCACAAUGGGCGAAAGAAUGAUGGAGCAACGCCGCGUGAAGGAUGAAGGACUUAGGGUUGUAAACUUCUUUUAUGAGUGAAGAAUAUGACGGUAACUCAUGAAUAAGCACCGGCUAACUACGUG